rnacentral:lncRNA from 1 species
UCUAUUUCGGUACUUUAAAAGCUUGAAACUUUGAAUAUAUGGCAUGUAUAGGCUAACAUUUAUUUUGUUUGGUCUUGAAAUUUGUAUAUAUAUUUAGCCAUGCGAAAAUGGCUUGUUCUUAAAACUAAGGUUCAAAUGUUUAAGUAAUUUUAAUCAUGAUGCUAAUGUUGGUUAUAUGAUUCAACAAUGAGGAAAAGUAGUAAGAUGUAUAAUUGGCUU